AAUCAGAACGCUACUAUACACUGAACGGAUUAGACUUACGAUAAUUGAAAGAAAACGAGACGCGUGUCGUGUCUGAGGUUUAUACGAGGUCUUUCGGCAGUUAUACGAAGAUACCGGCGUAAUCAUCAUCGAGGAAAAAUGGCCGAAGGUGGCUACUGGUGUGAAGAAUCGGAACCGGAGUGUGAUUCCCGAGGAAGCAUACUUUCGUGUCCCCACUCUCAUGUUCAGUGUGAAAAUGCCUCCGUAGAGAUCUGCGUUUUGAUGAACUGGCUUUGAUAUGGGCCGGAGAUCAGAAAGGCACGAAGAGACGCCUACAUGGAGGCGGAAAGGCUUAUGACUCCAUGGUCGAAAGGAUUUAAAACUGCAAUAUGUACGGGUAGCAAGGCCGAGGGUCUGACCCGCUUUGCUUAGAAUGAUCUUGAUCAAAUGUAUGUAAUAAAAGGUAUUUGGUGCGUAGAAGACGGUGUUAAUUCUUUUAUAUUGCCAAGGGAUAUGACUGUGUUUAGACUAAGCACUAAAAUGUUGUACCCAGGACACUGUAGACUGCUACUAGAGCAAAUUGGGAUAAUGGCCUUUGUCAUUUACAAUGCCCUUUGUCGUGAUGAAAAUGGUCGUCCUCUCCUGUGCAGUGACAUUUUUGUUAAUAUAUUGAACACGGGUAACAGAGAACUUAAGCCAGACGAGAUAAAAUUAGACCGUGCAGGGCCUUCAAUACCGGCUUCUUUCGGAGGGAUAUUGAAGAUAGACACAGUACAUUCUCUACCCUGCUACUGCCCUAGCAUACUGAAAAGAUGGUCUGAACGACGUCGGCACUGGCCCUCACCCGAUAUCGUUCGAAAAGUGGUAUCAUUAGGAGCAUAUGUGACUCCCGUCGGAUUUAAAGGAAGUGACUACAGACAUGUAGAGUGGAGGAUAUGAUUCAAUACAGGAGAGAAUGAGCUUGUGAGCAGUCUUAAUAACACACAGGUUUACAUUUAUGUUAUAUUAAAUAUGGUGGUCAAGGAUGUACUAAUGCCUGUAAAGAAAGAAAUUACAUCAUAUACAGUAAAAAACAUUAUAUUGUGGCUUGCGGAGAACAAUUCACAAAUAUUAUUCCAUGAAAAGAGUUUAUUUUAUUGGUUGCAUGAAGGACUGGGCGCACUAAGAACUGCUAUUGUAACGGAACGUCUGCCAUAUUACAUGAUACCAGAACGAAAUCUGAUGGCAGGAUGUGGACUAAAUGGUGAAUAGAAGCUAACCUGGGUAGCAACCAUCAAUGAGAUGAUGAACGAAGGGCCAAAAUUAAUUCGCCAAUUGCCGAAGAUACGGCAAGCAGUAAUCUCGCAUCCAGAGCCCAUGAUGUGGUACAGCGAGAAAAGAUUGGAGCUUGAAAUUCUGGAUCUGAUGUACAUGACCAAAGGAGCGAAAUGCUCAGAUAUGAAUGGCGAGGUAAAUAAGUCGGAUACUAUGCUUACGGCGAUAGAAGGACGUAUGAAUGAGAUAUUGAGAGAGAUCCGUCAAAGGAUGAAUUGGGAAGGAAGUCGUUUGAAUGAUCUGCAGGUGAUAUAUCACAUGAUGCUCAUGUAAUGUUGAUGUAAAUGACAAUCAGCACAUGCAUAUUUUUUUUAAAUUUACUACAAAAAUAAUUUAAUUUAUUGUGUUAACAAAUUCAUUGACUUGUAUGGUUGGUUCUAUAUGAGAUGUUUGAUAGUUAUAUAUGAAUGGGUAGUAAAAAUAUAUCUGCAUUAUGUGCAUUAAUAAGUGAUAGGUGUAUGUAAUAAGUUACUAAUGCUUAUUUUUCUCAUUUAGAAAUCAGUUAUAUAUGCAAGCGUAUACAUCCUAAAUUCGUGAAAGAAAUCGCAGCAUUUUCCCAGAUUUAAUGUCCGAACAAAAAACCGACUAACUAGUCUGGUAACUGGCCAUACGGUGGAAAAAAUAAGUUUGUCAUACAUUGUUAUUUAUUUUUAUUUUAGUUAAUAUAACGUUUUUAUUCAAAUGUCUACCACUACACACGGUCAUAUAAGUGUUUUAUGUGUUUGUGACAUUACUUUCAUGAGGAAUACAAUAUUUGUGUGCUAUUUUCAAACAUAUUUGCUUAUUAAUAAGUCAAUUAUGAUACAUUUCUAUCGACCAGUGUGUUUAAAUGAAGCUGUACUUUUAUUAAGAAAAAGAUAGUAUGCAUUGCUAUCUGACAUAUAGCUGAUACGAGUUCAUGCUUAUGUGUUUUUAACCAGUAAAUAAUAGUGCUGGUGUGUAUCGUGGAAUAAUCAAGUUUCUUAUAUGAACUUAAAAGGCGCCUGGUAAUAUAUGAAAUGUAUAUUGCAAUAACGUACUUAUUAAAAUUAUCAAAUAAUUUAGGAGCUUGAGAACUGUUAAGCAAUUGUAAAAAAACAACACUUACAUUGUCCAUCAAAUAUAUUUAAUUGUAUGAUGCAUGUUCCCUUUGUGUUUCAUUCACUCUUAUUGUUCUGAUUAAUAUUUGUUUACUUGUGUUUUCAGUUUCACUGCGUUUGCUAUUCGCUAUAUUGCCUGCAUGAAGUUUUGCUAGACGGACAAAACAUUUAGAUAUACAUGUUUAUAUAGCUAUGCCCAGGUUCUAAAAUGUGUGUUAAUUGAUGAUGUGUAUAUCGUAAUACGUUUAAAUUACACACACAUCAUAAAGAUUUUUUAAGCUGCUGUUAGUGCCGUUAUUUCGAUGGGUUAAACACACUUUUAGAAUUAUUAUCCAUGAUAAACUGCGUCUACGAUCCAGCCUUUAGACAAAAAAUGCACAUAUCAUGGUAUCGAUGAUUAAAUAUAUGAUGGUUAUAUGAUUGAUAUUGUAGACGUAAAGACACGAGUAACAACGAGGAAAAACUAAACACAUGGCAUGUAAUUUCCUCACAAGUUACUAAUUAACACAACUGAAACAUACCACCACUGCCACAAAAAUUUCAGUAAAAAACGUUGGUCGCAAAAUCUAAUAACCAUUACUAUGACUGCGCCAUUACACUCCUGAAAGGAAAUUAUUAGAAUCUUGUUAUAAGCAACAUAAAACGCCAUCAAUGCCAUGAUCAUUAUUCUCGAUGUUUAGAUGAGGCGAAUGUUAAUUGUACUUUAUCCACGCAAAACCCGUCAUGGCUCAUCCAUCCAUCCACUUCCUCCCACUAUUUGUGUAAUUUGUAAUACUGAUUCUACUUUGACUCUAAGUUAUGACUUUUAGCUGCUUAUAAGCCCAGCAAUCUCUGUGUGAUAUCGUAGAGGGUUUUGAGUGUUUAUGACGUCGCCGUGUCGUAGUGGAUAUGGUGUCAGUCUAGCGACCGGGAAGUCACGAGUUCGAUCCCCACUGUGGGAGCGUUCAUUCGAUCUUCCCCAAAGACACCAAGUACUGGUUCUUGGUCCCAGGAAACGGACUCAAGAGUGUUUCAAUAAGCCCUAGGCUUUCGAUGCAAUCGAGCUAGAAUAAAUAGUUUUAAAUUUAACAAGAGGGCUUUGUGUGGUUGAAAUUAUGGCUAACCUUCAACGCACAGGUACGACCGGCGUGAUCAACAAUAUGUAAUCAUAGGGAAUUAGCUACUCAAAAAGUCAUUGUGCCCGACGACAUAAAAAAUUGCGAUUGUACAUUUUCAAGAGAUGUUGUUAACAAAGAUGUAUCAAAAUCAGGUGAUUUAAGUAAACAUUGCAUAAUCGAAAUGCAACUAACACGGGAACUAUAAAGCCUUGUUUGUAAUUUUUUUGAAUACGAUAUUAUAUAAAGCACAUAAUUGACUUGUUUAAAUAAGAGGGUCAAACGCCCUUGUAUUCUGAACUGUGACCAAAACAAAAUGUUUUAAUAUGACAUGCUUGUGUUUUUCAUAUAUGUAAAAAUGUUGUGCCGUUUUUAUGCAGUGUAAGAUUGUACGUUUGGAUACGAAUAUGUUUACAAGUGUUAAUAUAAAAUAUUCCUACUUGUUUU